UACGUAGGGUGCGAGCGUUGUCCGGAAUUAUUGGGCGUAAAGAGCUCGUAGGCGGCCUGUCGCGUCGGUUGUGAAAGCCCGGGGCUUAACCCCGGGUCUGCAGUCGAUACGGGCAGGCUAGAGUUCGGUAGGGGAGAUCGGAAUUCCUGGUGUAGCGGUGGAAUGCGCAGAUAUCAGGAGGAACACCGGUGGCGAAGGCGGAUCUCUGGGCCGAUACUGACGCUGAGGAGCGAAAGCGUGGGGAGCGAACAGG
rnacentral:rRNA from 1 species